rnacentral:lncRNA from 1 species
GACUUAAUGACUUAAAAUAUAAUUUAACCUAAACUUAAAUUAAUUAAUUGAACAUUAAUUUAAUUUAAUGAUUUAGCUUUAAUUAAUUCUACUAAAAAUCAUUAAACUCAUUAAACAUGUUUAACAGAAUAAUAUAAUAUUAAAAAUAAUUUAAAAUAGUAAGUUAAAAUAAACAAUUUUGUUUACUUGCCCACUUUUCUUUUCUCCCUCCUUUUAUCUCUCAUAAUCUUAUUUAAUAUGAUAAUGGUGAAUAUCUUAACUUAAUAAUUCAAAAAAAAAAUUAAGAUCUUUUCAUUUAACUAUCUUAAUACUUAAAGUAAAAAUAAAAUAAUAAAUUUUAAUCAAUAAUUUAAUUUAGAUUAAUAAUAAUUUAAUCAUAAUUUAAAUUUAAAAUCACCUUUAAGUCAUUAAUUGUUUGAAUUGGUUUUUAAAAGAUAAAAAAUUCUUCUUCAAGCUUUUUUAUCUACCGGAGUAGGUCAUACUAGGUAUAAAACUAUGUCGUAUAGGGUGUACAAGGUGUCGGUGAUUUUUUUAUAUUUUUGUAGACCCCCUCCCGAGGAGGAGUUUUUGGGGCGGAUUUUUUCUAUCAUGAUGACCCUCCUGACCACCCCGGGAAUUAAGCUGACGGGGGCGGCCAGAUUAGACAGAAGGCAGAGAGGAAGUGAGGGCUGUGGAAAAAAAGGCGGGAAAAGGGAAAAAUAUCUGGGGGGAAAAACACAACUGUAGAGGGUGCGGCAGAUUACGAGAGAGGGGGAGUUACCAGUGGAGCAAGGGGAGAAAGCAGAGGAGCUUUCAAAAAUCUGGCUAGUAGAGGAGGCAGUGAGGGCGGUAAGAUAAGUGAGCUUCAUCGGGGAGGAGUGCUCUCAGGUACGAGUAUUAUUGACUUUUGAUUCAUAUUCCCCUAUCGCAUUUGCUUCUUCACUCAUUUUUUUUUAUGUAGUUUUCGUUCAUUAAAGAGACGUGUUUGCUAUGCUAUUCUUUCACUCUCUUGGAUUUCAUUCGAGAAUAUUACGUAUAUGGGUUUGUAUGGAUCAUGUUGAUGUUCUUUAUAUAUAUAUAUAUAUAUAUAUAUUUUACCUGGUUCAUAGCCCACGGAUUAAUGCUUGGAAAGAGGCUCAAUAUAUUUGCUAUUUGUUUUCUCCCGUUUGUUUCCUUUUGAACAUUUUACACCAUUUCAAUCUCUGUUCCUUCUUCCUUCAUAUACGUCAUUUUGAGUUGGUGAGUUCACUGCUAGUCCGCGGGAAUCGAAUAGGGACUUGGAUUUUAGAGUUGUUUAUCUUCUCUCAGUUUGAAGAAUCCGUCUAUCAACCCUGUAGUCCCAGUUUAUGAAAUGACUCCUCACACAGCCGCCACUACUUUGUUUUUCUUUUUCUCACCAUUCUCUUCAUUGUCUUUUCAUUCAUCUCCACUUUUUCCCUCCUCCAUUCUCAUGGAAGGCCGCCCUUGCUCUCAGCUCGCCUUCGCCAUUGCCGGCCACUGACCACGCAGUCUUUCCUCGCCUAUAUUACUACAUAGCCAUCAGAGUCGCCAUCUCCACUUUACAACGCCGCCGCAUCCCUCAUAGUUGAGCCACCACCUUUGUAUCUCUAUGAAACCGCCUUGGACUAGCCAUUGUUCACCAUCCCAUAGCUCCAUGACGCCACAGCCGCUGCCCAUAGCUUGCAUGGUUACCACACCGCCGGAAUGACACCAGAAAUGCCAACCUUCACGCGGACCACCAGCAAUGCCACUGUCUAUACCGCCUCCUCAACUCCGUUUGACGAUGGAAUCAUCAGCGGGGAAGAACCAUGAGUUCUGGCCGUCAAGGUUCCACAAUCUCCAUCUAGUCCCUCUUAUAAGCUGUUGCGACCAUCCCCAAGCAAGGAUCCUCAUAUACGAACGUUGCCCAAGGAAGCUUCCGUGAUCGUUUUUAUAAAACAAAUAAGGUUCUAUUGACAUGGAAGCAAUGGCUCGAGAUCGGUAUCGGUGCUGUUUGGGGACUGAAGCAUCUACAUCAAGGCUCGGAAUGCGAAAUCAUUCACCAGGACAUCAAGACCACAGAUAUUUCGUUAGAUGAGAAACGGGUGGCCAAAUUUGCUGAUUUCGGAGUGGUGUUGUUUGAAGUACUGUGCGCAGGACUGGCUGUGGAAGGGAGCCUGAUGAAGGAGCGUUCUUUGAGGGGCACAGAGACGAAGGUGAUGCAAUGUUAUGCAGAAGUAGAUGGAAAGGGUUUCGAGAUUAGCAUGGGUGUAUUUGCUUUCUAUAUGGUGUUGGAUGCUUUGAGUGAAAAUGGGUAGUGUCAGUGCUUUUUAAAAAAAAAUGAUGAUGUUGGCAGAGGCUUGACUUGAAUUUAAUGGUGUACAUAAAGCAUGUGUUUGGCUCAGCUAUGCAUGACCACUUUCUCUCACGGCGCGUGUCAUCCUUUUAAGAGUAUUUACUUAUUUGCUUAUUUUCUUUCCAUGUAUUUAAAAUUUUCAUACCAAAAAUAAUUUCCUUCAAAAUUUAGUUUUUUUUUACGUACUGUUCUCAAACAAUUCUUCGACAUCCCGGUCUCCGAAUUUGUUUUUUUAGUAUUACUAUUAUUCCAAUUAUUUAUUUAUUUUAAAACUUCAUUUUAAAUCAAAUUCUUUAAAACUUCUGAUUUUCGAAUUAGAUCCCUAAUCCCGUAAAUUCCCAUAUUCCCAUUAAUUUAUUUAAUCAUUAACAUUUUAUUUAUUUAUUUAUUAACCCCAUUUUAAGUCUAAUCCUUCAAAAUUUCAAAAUUUCAAAAUUUCGAUUUCCAAAUUUAAUUUCUAAUUUCAAAAAUUCCAAUAUUUCUGUUUAUUAAUUUAAGUAUUAUUUUCAUUAUUAUUAUUAUUCUAUUUAUUUAUUUUUAAAAAAUCCAAUUUUUAAAUAAUUCUUUAAAAUUCUGAUUUCCAAUUUCUUUAAAAUUUAAUUUCUAAAGUUCCAAUUCUUAAAUUUAAUUUUCAAGACACCAAUUCUCAAAUCCUUUUAAAAAUUCCAAUUUCUUUUCCAAUUCUUAAAUUUAAUUUUCACGACUUCAAUUCUCAAAUCAUUUUAAAAAUUCCAAUUUCUUUCAAAUUUAAUCUCCAAAAUUCCAAUUCUUAAAUUUAAUUCCUAAUACUCCAAUUUUUUAAACAAAUUUCAAAAAUCCAGUCUUCACUCGAACAGUUUUAAUUCCAUUUCGGUUUUCAAAUAAUCUCAUGUUUCUCGACUUUACAUAAGCAUGAAUGUAAUUUUCAUAAUUCUGGAGUAAUAGAAUCUGUGAUAUAAAUUCAUGCAAAAUAAACGGGUUUUGGUGGGGGCCCCACAUAUGUGACUUAUCGAUCGAUUGACAGAUAGAUCAAUUUGAUCAUGAUACAUGAUUGAUUUAUCCUGCUCUAUGACAUGCUCAGAAUUAUUUCUUAAUUGUGCACUAACCUCACUUCUUGAUAGCGCUUCAUGGAUCACUGCUCAGGUACGCAUCCACAUCCGCUCUGGUCAUUUUCGGUAUGCAUGUUUAGAUUCUCACGUGUGUAUGAUCACUUUGAGUAUUCAUUGAUUUCCUCAUCAAUUAUCAUGAUUGCUUCAUUUUAUUAGUAGAGACCUAACUUUAGGGACUUAAAGGGGCGCUACGGUCUGUACCGUACUUUCCCGAUAAGUAACCUGACCCCCGAACCCGAUCCGGUUUUUCACAGAUCACCUUUUUCAAAAUAAGGAGUCACACUUAGGGUUUUCUUUUUUAUUUUGUUUACCCUUUUAAAAAAUAAAACAAAAAUAAGUGGCAACUCCAAGUUAGUUUUCUUAAUAAAAAUAAAUAAAUUAAUCAAUUUUUCAAAAUGAAAAAUCGAGCUCGUCAUUCGAGUGGGAAACGCAUGAGCCGAAAUGCGGGGUCCACAAUUUUAUUUUUAUUUUUUAGUCUCCAAAAUUCAACUCGACCUAGGCUAAGCCCAAAUGCCAAACACAUAGUAUGAUAUAAUCAUAUAACCCAACAACCCAAUAGCCCAUCCAACAACAAUCUAACACAACCUAAUAGCCUAACCAGGCUUAAAAUUAAUUUAAUUAAAGCUAAAUCUGGGAUUGGAAUAUGUAUGUAUAUGCCUAGCAGUCCAUUGAUCACGCGGCAGACCAUGGUUCAAUUCUUAGUUAUUUCGUGGAAAUAUUGCCCAUAUGAUGCAAUAGUUACGAUUUUCUCCUCCAUUACUAAAAGAAAAUAUUUAUAUAGUUUUAUUUCCAUAGUCCACAAGUAUUGAUUUUUUUUUUGGAAGCUUACUUUGAGUGAUUUCGUCGUUUAUAAGAAGUUAUUUCACCUUAAAAAAAUCAAUUGAGUGAUUAUAAAGACAUAAUGAAGCCUUGAAAAUCCGUUAUAAACCUUAGGACUUGUUUGGCAAUUAUUUUUAAAAAUAGUUCUAAAAAACAAUUUUUAAGAAUAAUUUCUUAAAUAUAUAUAUAUAUAUAUAUAUAUAUAUUUUAAUGUUUUGUAAAAUAAAAUUUUGUUUAAAAACUUAAAAUUUUUUUAAUAUAUUUUUAAAUAUGUUCUAAAAAUAAUUUUUAUGUCUAAUAUUUUAUUUUUAAUUAUUUUACAUAUUGUAUAAUUAUUUUUUUAAACAAUCCUAAAAAAAUAAGUGAAAAUAAUAUAAAAUAAUUAAAAAAUGUUAUCUGAAUACACUAUAUUUUCUGUUUUUAAAAACAUAAAAUAUAAAAUAAUUUUUAAUUCCUAAACGCGUUUUUUUAUUUUCUUGUUUUAAAGAACAUAAAACUAUUUUCAAAAACAGUUACUAAACAAACCCUUAAGAUCAAGUUGAAAUAAAAAGGAGUUGGUGUAAUCAAUUAUGGAACAUAUAUUUUUAUUGGGUGUGCUUUAUAUUACAUUAUUUCUUAUCGUGUACAUUAAAAUUUGAAAAAGAGACUAAUGCCAAGUUUAAAGAAAUUUAUAUAUAAAAAAAACCACGUAAUUAAGAAAGAAAUCAUAUUUAAUUUUUUUUUAUAUUGGUUGGCGGAAAAAGAAUGAUAAAAUGAAGAGAUCAUGUUCCUUUUUUCUUUUGGUUUUUAAAAUUUUUUUCUUUUCAAAAAAUAGAUGUAAACAAUUUAAUCAAAUAUAGGUUAAAUAUUUUAAAUAUAUAAUUAAGUUAAUAAUGAGAUUAUUAAAUGGAUUAAUUGGGGUUAAAUUCAUGUUAUGUAGAUAUGAACCUGCAUUAUUUUUCACGUGUCUCCACUCAAAACGGUGAGACUCGUUUUUAAUUUGAUGAAAAUUUAAUUUUUGAAAAAAAUUGAAAUCACCACUUAUUUUAGUUUAUUUUUAAAAGGGAAAACAAAAUAAGAAAUAAAAUCUUACUAUGACUCCUUAUUUAGAAAAGAUAUGUCUGUAAAAAUCGAAUCUAAAUUGGAAGAUCAAGUUACCUAUUGGGAAGAUACGACGAAAAGCCGUAACACCCUUCUAAGCCCAAAUACCUAUGGUCACUACUUAAUGAAUUGGAAGAAUCACAAUAAUUAAUUAAUUAAUCAUCGAUACCAACAUUAAUGACAUAAAUCAAUAUACAAAAAAAAAAAUCAUAAAAACAAAUUACCAUAAUGUAUAAAUAAAUAACAAGAAAAUUUUCCAAAUUGAUUCAUUCAGCCAAUUAAAAAAAUUAAAAAUUAUUUUCUUAAGAAAUUCCAAAUGAGUUUAUUAAAAACAAUUUCAAAUUAAUGAUUUUAAUUUAUUUAUUUACAAAAUGAUUUCAAUUCAUUUCUAAUAAAUGAUUUGAUUCAAUUUUAUUUGCAUUCACUUUUUAAAAAGUUAUUUAUACUCAUUUUAUCAAAAACAAAUUAUUACAAAAAUCUCAAUUUGACAAUAGGGUUUUCACUAACUUUUAACCAAAAAAAAAAUUACAACUUUAUUUACGAAGGAAUUAAAUUUUUUACAAAUUUUGUUUAAAACAUAUUUUCAACCCAAUUUUAUUUAUAUAAAAAAAUUAUUUCUACAACUUCAGUUUGCAGAUUCCAUUCUUAUAAUCCUAUUCUAAUUAGAGAAAUAGAAUUUGUUUUAAAAAAAUCUUUUUUUUGGACAAUUUUAUUAAAAAAUAACCUUUUGAACAAUUUUAUUUACAAAACAAUUUUUUUUUUGACAAUUUUUAUUAAACAAAUAAAUUUCUUAACAAUAGUUGCUAAAAACGAUUUUUUUGAAUUUAGUUAAAAAAAAUUUAGAUUUUCCUAAAAACAUUUUUCUAAAUUUUUAUUAAAAAAACUUUCAUUUUUUAACAAAAAUAUUUUCUAAACAAUUUUUUUUAUUAAAAUAAAAUUAUUAAACUAUUUCUUUUAUUAAAACAAAAUUUUGUAAUCAUCUAAAUAAAAUGAAGAAAAUAAAAUAUACUCAGAUAAGCUUACAACAAACUUAAUGCCUCAUUUACAACUUACGUGAGUCUCAUUUUCUUUUAUUAAAUUUGGUUCUCUAUGGUCACCCAUCAUAAUACCAAUAGUAGAAUUGGCUCAUGCAAACAAAAAUGAGCAUAAAUAUCAAGAGUCCAAAAUAAUUAUUCAAGUCAAAAUUCAAACUUCAAAUUAAUUCAAUAAAUUUUUACCAAUAAAAUUGCACUCAAAUUAAUAAAUCUAACCCAACAAAAAUAUCCCUUGUUACUAGCCCUAGUCUAAAAUUUCCAAAUAAAUCACCAAAAUACAACACAAUCAUUAAACCCAAAAUAUCAUAAACAAAAUAAAUUCAAUUAUACUUAAAUUUAAUAUCUCAAGCCCCAUUUAAUACACAAAUCCAAAUUCACAACCAAACCCAAUUUAAUAUAUAGAGACUAAAUGUAACAAAAAUAUACUACAAUAUUAAUUCAUGUACAAAUUAAACUAUUCAAAUGAGCAAAACUCAAAUCAAAUAUCUUCCAACAAAUUUCACCAAUAAUGGACCAAAUUUCAUAUUGAUUAACAACCCCAAAAUUCACAAAUAAUUACAAUUGAAAUCAAAGCAAAAUAAUAAUAAUAAUAAAAAUAAAUAAAAUAAAAUAAAAUGAAGCAUAAAUAAACUUUCACUUUUUUUUUUUGGUUUUUUGAAUAUGGAUGGUUGCUGAAGGGUGGCAGUGGAGUUGAGAGGAGAAAGAAAUGAAAAAAAAAAAAACAAAGAAUGAGAGGGAAAGAGAGAGAAAGUAGUGAGAGAAGAGAUGGGUGGAAGGGGAGAAUGAGAGGGGAGGAGGGGGGUCGCCGACCGGCAAUGGCUUGCCGGCGGUGGUGAGGUUUGAUGGGUUUUUGGGUGAGGGAAGAAAUGGGUAUGGGAAAGAGGAAAAGAAAGAAAAAAUAAGAAAAGAAAGGGAAAGUGGGUGUGGUCGUGUGGCAAUCGGAGUUGGGGAGAGAGGGUGGGGGAGGAAAAUGGANNNNNNNNNNNNNNNNNNNNNNNNNNNNNNNNNNNNNNNNNNNNNNNNNNNNNNNNNNNNNNNNNNNNNNNNNNNNNNNNNNNNNNNNNNNNNNNNNNNNAAAUGAAAAAGGAAAGGAAGGAGAGAGGAGGAAAGAGAAAGGAGGUUGGAAAUGGAAAGGUAGAAAAAAAUGGAGAAGAAGAAAAAGGAAAGGUAGAAAAAAAUGGAGAAGAAGAAAAAGGAGGGGGGUUGGGGGGAAGANNNNNNNNNNNNNNNNNNNNNNNNNNNNNNNNNNNNNNNNNNNNNNNNNNNNNNNNNNNNNNNNNNNNNNNNNNNNNNNNNNNNNNNNNNNNNNNNNNNNGGGGGUUGGGGGGAAGAGGGAUGGGGUGGCUGGCUAUGGUCGUGCGAGAGUCGGAGUUUUGGGGGAGAGAAAAAUGGGUGGGAAAAGAGAGGAGGAAAAAAAUAAAAAAGGAAAUGAAAAGAACUAAAAAUAGAAAUACAAUAAUAAUAAAAAUUAAAAAUAAGACAAUACAAAAAUAAAAAAUUAAAAGGUUUGGACGAAAAAUCAAAUAUAAUUAAGUUUAAAAUUUAAGAAUAAAAUUGAACACCAAACUAAUAUAAAAGUAAAUUCAAGAUAAAUUUUAAGAUUUACAAUAUAUUGACCCAAAAAUUAUUUAUUUAUUAAAUGAGUUAUUAUGGUAAAUAUGAAUUUGAUCUGAGCUUAUUUAUACUCAAUCCAAACCCACAAAAAAACAUGUUGAGUUUGUGUCAUAUUCAAUAUUUAAUUUUGUCAUUUCUACAAAAAUUAAGAAUAUGUUUGGUAAAUAUUUUAAAAAAUAAUUUUGAAAAAUAGUUUUUAUAGAGCAAAAGUAAAUUUGAAAACUUAAAAUAUUUUUAACUCAUUUUUAAUAUUUUUAAAUAUGUUUUAAAAAUAAUUUCUAUAUUUAAUGUUUUAUUUUUAAUCAUUCUACAUAUAUAAUUAUUUUUUAAAAUAAUCUUUAUAAAAACAAAUGAAAAAUAACUAAAAGACAUUAUUUGAAAACACAUUAUUUUAUGUUCUGGAGAAAAUGAUAGUAGCGUAAACUGAUAAGAUUGCCAAUAGCUGUGAGUAUGCAAUAAACAAGGAUGAAUUAAGAGAAGAGGUGGAGAAAAUGAGAUUAUUGAAUGGUUUUUUCGGAUGAAUUAUCUAAAGGAUUUCUGCAUUGAGUGGGAGGAACAACAACCUUAGCAAUAGAGAGGAAUGAGAACCGUAAAAUGAGAUAGGAAGACCGAAAAGGUCAAAGGAAACAAAUAUUUAUAGGUGGGGGUAAACUUGUAAUUUCAUAUUCGGAGCGGAGCGGGACAUAUUAUUAUUAAACCCGACCCCGCCCUGAACUCGUCUCAUCUCCGAAUUCUAUGCUCCCAUACCCAUCCUAAUAAGUGCGGAUGACCCGAAAAAACCCACGAAAUUAUUAUUCCUAUAAAUAACUAUCAAAAUUCAGUUUAUAAUCAAUGUGAAUGGUAGUUGAAACUUCAAACUAUUCCAUAACAUUUUUCAACUAGUAUUAGAAGUUUUAGUGGUGUCCUCACUAAUUACUACUCAAAAAAACUUGCAAUGUACAAGUCUAUAGUCUCACAGAAGUAAAUAAUUAUAAAAAGAGUAAAAGUAAUCUGGAAGGAUCCACUCCAGGGACUAAUUAUUUAAUAUGAUGACAAUGUUGAAGACUAUGACCACAAAUAUUUCUCUGGCCUGAUGUGAUUAGGGUUGGACCAAGUCCAGCAAAUGAGUCCACAACAUUAUGUUAAUUUUUUUAAUAUAUAUAUAAAUAAAAGCCCACAUACUCUACGGCGAUUUCUCCCCUGUUUGGAACUGUGAGUCAGAAAACGGUGUCCUAGCCACAGAUUCCAUAGAGAUUUCUCCCUGGUUUGGCCCCGAAACACUCUGAUAGCCACGCAUAUAUCUAUCUACCCGUCAUGCUUAAAGGAAAAUUUUACCUCUGUGGCUAUUAUAAUUUUAAGAAUAUUGUGGUGAAUUGGGUAUAAAGAAGUGGUAGUAGAGGCAGCCACUUUUCAGGCCUGCCGACCACAGUAUCAAAUCUUCUAGAAACCCAUUAAUGGGCCUCGGGAGCUUAUUCUAAAAAAUUUGUUAGAAAAAAUUGUUCUUGGAUCUCAAAGUUUACUCUUGAGUCUUGAAAAGUUGUUAAAAAUGUAAUUCUUUUUUAACUUAUUUUUAGAAACGAAUGCAAGUGCCACCUACUUUCCUUGUACAUAGAAUUUUUUUUAUUUAUAUUGUUAUUAUUAGUCGAUUUAUUUUAUAACUUGACAAUUAUGUUAAAUGUCUUACAUUUAUUUAAAUAUAUAAAUUUAAUAAAUACAAAUUCUAUUAAAUUAUUCACAUGAGCAUGGAGGCUUCAUGUUUCCUUUGUUUCUAUCAAAACAAAUGUAUUAUGUUGAGUUACCAAUUUUUCAAGUUUAAGCUUAUAAGAUUUAGAUUUCAUAUUCGUAUUGUGCUCUUAAUAAAAGGGAUUUCUCCUAUUGCAUUUUACGAUGAAGGCAACAUAUGUGCAUUUGAGAAGCUUGAUUGUUUCACUCUUCUUACAAUUAUGUUGUUUCUUCUAAAAUGUUUAUGGAUAGAUGAUUUCUUAAACCCCUUAGAAGUCCGACCCUUGACACAAUGCCUAAAUCAUAAAAUGUUUGCUCUAGAGUGUGGAAUAGGGUUCCAAACUUCCAAAAUGGACUUGAUGCAUCUCAAUUGUGAAAUCAGUCUUCCUAUAAUUGAGUACUUUAGGGUUGAAUUGACGGUGUUGGAUUGAUGGCUAAAGUUGGAUGUUCCCUAAGACGGAUAAACAUCAUCUUGUGAAGGAAACUUGAAAAGGGGACCAUUGUGUCAUUUCGAGAUGUGUCAUUUCCAAAAGCUUUCACAUCGUCAUUAAUUCAUUAAUGCAAAAGUUACUAUUUUGCAAUACCAUAAAUCAUAAAAUGCUUGCCCAAGUGUGGAGUAGGGUUCCAAACUUCCAAAAUGGACUCGAUGAGUCUCAAUUGUGAAAUUAGUCUCCCCACAAUCAAGCACUUUAGGAUUGAAUUAAGGGUGUUGGAUUGAUGGAUAAGGUUGGAUAUUCCCUGAGGUGUGAUUAACAUACAACAUCUAGUGAUGGGAGUUGAUAAAGGAGACCAUUGUGUAUUUGCCACGUGUCAUUUCUAAAAGCUUUCAUAUCAUCAUUGAUUUAUUAGUGCAAAAGUUAUUAUUUUGCAAUACUAUAAAAAUACCUUAUUUUUCGCCAAAAUAAUAAUAAUAAAAAAGGAAUAUUUCAUUUGUUUCUAGCCUCCUAGACCUCUCACUCUCCUACACUCUCUUCUUACAAUCUUGAGACCUCAUUGUGUCUAUGUCUUUGACCUCCUACAAACGAGGAAUCUAUAUAACUUAUAUUAAAAAGAUAAUGUCUUUUAAAAAUUAUUUAAAAAAGGAAUGUAUUAAAAAAUUCUGAUCACAUCAAAUUUUAAAAUUUUAAAAUACAUAAGAUAUACGCAUAUUUUUUAUAUAAAAGUUGUCAUUACUUUCUAUUUUGAAAAAGGGGAAGAAAAGGACGUGCAAAGAAGCUAUUGGUUAAUGAGAAUAACUAUAACUAAGAUAAUAAUUUUUUUUGGGUAUAAAGAGUAUUAGUUUAAAUGAAUUAUAUUGUAUUACAUAAUUUUAAUGAUUUGAUGAUUUCAAGUAUCUUGUAUUUAAAUUUCAUUAUGUUAUUCAUUUUUAAAUAUUUAAAUACACGAAAAAUAUGGGAUUAUUUAAAUCUAAUUAUAAUUAUUUAUUUUUAAAUAUUUAAUUAUAUGAUGAAUAUGGGUUUUAUUUUAUUUUAUUUUUGAAAAUGAGUUUGUUUUAAAAAAGUAAAAAUCUUGUUUCGUUUUGAGUUCUCAUUCACGUUAUAAAUGGUUUAAUAAAACAUUCUAAUAUGCCCAUAAUUAAUCAAAUAAAUUGUUCCAAUAUAAAAUGAUAUCCACCUAUAAUUAUCCAUAAUUUAAUAAAUAAAUAAAAUAUUUAUAUUAUAUUUUUAGAAUAAUUUUUUAUUUGAAAUAUAUAUGAGAUAAUAUUUUAUUCAUAUUAAAAUUUCUCUUAUAUUAUAACUAAACAAAGUCUUUUAUAUGAUUACAUUAUGUUUUCCAUCUUUAAUUGUUUAGAAAAUAAUUUUCAUUUUUAAGAAAAUUUUGAAAUUUUCAUUUUUUUUAAGAAAAUACCAAAUUAGUGUUUUUACUUUUUUUUCUUUUUCUUUUUCUUUUUUCUUUUUUCAUUUUUGUAGCUUAAUUUAAAAAAAAAAAAGGAAAAUAAAAACAUCGUGGAAACAUAUUUUCAGCCCAAUUUUUGUUUUACUUGAAAAUGAAAAAAAAAACCUCUAAACAAAUAAAGAGUUAAGUAGUGUUUUUUUUUUACUUAAUUCUAAAUAUAACUUAAAAUUAAAUAAUAUUUAAUAAUAUUAAGUAUUUGAUGGUUUGUUUUUAUAAUAUUUUAUUUCUAUUAAUCAUUAAAAACUAAAGAAAAGAUUAAUAUGUUACUUUUUUUCAUUUAAAAAAUGCUAAAUGUUUUACCUUUUUCUAUUUAACAAAAACUUUAUAAUAAAACAUAAAAUAAAAAAAAAUUAAAGUCAUAAAACAAAUUACUUUCAACAAAAACUAAAAAAAAAAAAAAAAAAAAAAAGCACCCUUUUAAUCUUUUCAUGGGCUGACAUUAUGUUUUGCAUUUAUUAAAGUUAUAAAAUAAAUUACAUUCAAUAAAAAUAAAUAAAAAAUACAAGCACCCUUUUAGUCUUUUCAUGAACUCGUAUUAUGUUUUGCAUUUAUUUAAUAGAAUAGAAGUGACUUUUCCGUAAUUUCACCCUUUUGCAUUUAUUUAAUGGAAUAGAAGUGACUUUUCGUUAAUUUCACUCAUUUGAGAAUGACAUAAUUAUUUUUUAUUUAUGGAAUCAUUGACCAAGCCGAUAACUAUGCCCUUUGAUUUUAGCUUUAUUUAUUAUUAUUAUUAUUUUCAUUCUAUUUUUUUUUCUUAAUAUAUGUUUUAAUUUAUGAAUUUUUUUAAGAUAAUAUUUGACCCCCAAAAAUUACUAAAAAAAUUAAGAAAAAUGAUUUUUUUCUAUUUAUUUUAUUUAUGAAAAAUAUAUAAAAAUCAAAUAUAACUAAAAUUAAGUAAAAAUUUAUAAAAUUUUAAAUUAUUUAAUCUUAAUAUAAACGAGAAAAAAAAAUAUGAAAUGAAUUUAAAAUAACAUAUAAUAAUAAUUUAUAAACUUUAAAUCUAAUUUUAUUUUUCUUCCUACUUUUUCUUCUUCUCAUUUUUCUUUUUAUUUAGUAUUUACUUUUCCUCACUUUUUUUAUAAGAUUAUAUUUGGUUCCUAGAAAAUUUUAGGAAAAAUACAAAAAUAAAAAAAAAAGUGAAAAAAAAUAAAAAAUAGGUUUAAACUUAAUAAAUUAUUUUUAUAUAUUUUUUUAAACUCAUUCACUUAUUUAUCUCAAUUAUAUAAAAAUUAAAUCAUUUAAAUAUAUAUAAUUUUUUUUAAAGUUUUAUUUGUAUUUGGUUUUCUUGUGUAGUUUUUAUAAAAAGAAAAAGUGAGAACAUUAAAGUGGGAGUGGUUGUGGUUGUGAAGUAAUGAUUUGCCUUUAUUUAUGAAUUUCACCUUUUGGUAGUUCGGAACGGAAAAAGGCAGAUACAGACUGAUGGUUGCGGACACGAGCCUCAACCACCUCGGAGUCGUUAGACUUUUGUUCAUUUUAUUUUAUUUUUUAUUUUUCAAUUUUGACCAACUCUCUCUCUCUCUCUCUCUCUCUCUCUCUCUCUCUCUCUCUCUCUCUCUCUCUCUCUCUCUCUCUCUCUCUCUUUCUCUCUCCCCUCACAAGUCACAUCUCAAUCAAAUUUAAAAAAAAAAUUUGUUCAUUGUCAUCCAAUUUAUAUUAUUGUUACGGUAGUUAAGAAUAUUUUUAAAUUGGAUGACAAUUGAUUAUAUUUUUUAUUUUUUUAUUAUUGGAUAAACCCAUAUUUAUGCGAUAAUAUUUGUUUGCCACGUCCAUUUCCUUCCUUCCUACCUAACAAUGUGGUUUAUUAAAUGCAACCAAAAUUCUAAUAACGUAUUUAGGCGGUUUUCUCUUCUAAGUUCUAGACUUAUAUGUAUGAUUUUGACUCAUCAUGAAAAAUAGAAGUUGUCUUUAUCCAUCAGUAUGUCAAUUUCAGUUUGUUAACUAAUGUAUGAAUUGCGUAUGAAAGUGAAUAAGCCUACAAAACUUCAAUUUGAAUUUUAAUGAUUAACAACUUUUUAUAGUUUUUUUUUUUGAAAUAAAAUUAUGUUUAAUAACUCAAAUAUAAAAAUUAUUUUUCAUUUAUUAUUUUGUUUAAAGUUUAUUAAUCAUAUAUGAUAACAAAAAAAUAAUUCUCAAAUUAUUUUUAGAAUAUUUUACAAAAACACCUUUAAAACAAAUUUUAAUUUAUCAAAUUAAUUUUCAAAAGUGUUUUCAAAAUGAAAAGGCCAAAAUGGGUGCUACUCUAUGUAUCCUUUGAAAAUUGAAAAGAAAAAACGCUUUAAAGUAUUUUAAAAAUAAAUCUCUUAGUUUAAGUUCAUCUAUAGGAAUACAACCACAUACAAGAGUUUCUUGUAUAAUAUAUAAAUGUUUUUAAUUUUAUAAUAAAAACUAUAUAAAUACAAUCGAAUUUAUUAAAGGGGUGAAUUUGUCAAAUUUUUUUUAAUAUAAAAACAAAUGUAUUUAUGUAAUCAAUUUCAUUUAGGAAUAGUUUCUUAUUUUUGGCUUUAGUGGACUAUUGAAAAAUUUAGUAUAAUAGUAAAGGUAUCUGAUUGAUUAAUAUUCACAUAUACACGCGACAAAACUUAUGUGUCAUGAAUAAAUACCAAAAACAUUAAGAGAGAAGAAUAUUAUAAAAAUAUUAUAUAUUUGUGGUCUUUGAUUAAACUAUUUUGAAUAAAAUAUAGGGAAUGAGUGAUAUUAAUUUUAUUAUAAAGAAUGGCUAAUACAUUAAUAAAAAAUUGUAUGAUUGAUACACUUGUCAAUGGAUAAAGUUGUUAAUGUUUUAUUAAAUUUUCUUGCAUAUUUGUCCCAUUUCUAUACAUACCACUACGUACCCAGUUUGAAUUAUAUCCUAGGAUCUACUGCAUAGAGAGAGGACAUCAACCAAUUUCAAUGUUAGGGUUUAUCAGAAAUUGACAUACAAAUUAAAGUUUUUAUGCAUUAAAACUUCACCCAAUUUAAUUAAAUAUUAACAUCCCCACAGAAUCAUCUGCAUUUGUCAGCUAGCUAAAGGUCAAAGUCAAAAGUCUGGGAAAGCUAUCCUGGGAGGAGGGGUAGCUGAAACGUGUAUGGAUUAGAUGGUAGAUGGUAGAUGGUAGAUGGUAAGGAAUCUUUAGAGAAGUUUACGGUCAUGAGGUGAUUGGCCAAGGGCCAAGAGGUUCGUGUUGCCCGUUGAUUUCUCCGGUCUAAAUCUCACAAGGGUUAGAAGGCCCCGUGCCUGAAACCUUCCAGUCAGCGCACCUUCCUUCUUGGUUCUCUUCGGCUGUUGAGUGUUGAAUCUGGUGCGGAGGUCAUCACGUGAGUAACUGACACAAUCUCUCUCUCUCUCUCUGAUUUGGUGGGUUGGUAGCUUGGUAGCGCUACCCCAUUCUCAUGUUCUAGAGUAACACAGUAUCUUGAAGAGACGAUCUCUAUAAAUUAAAGCUUCAAAAAUGACCAAUGCAGCGUGCUGAUCAUUCAGACUGCAAGCAAGAGAGAAAGGGAAGGGAAAACAAGUAGAUCAGUGAUAUUUACUAGAAUGGUGACUUCAGUGGCUCCUAGAGUUGAGAGCUUGUCCAGCAGUGGGAUCCAGUCAAUCCCCAAAGAGUACAUCCGCCCCCAAGAAGAGCUCACCAGCAUUGGCAAUGUCUUUGAGGAGGAGAAGAAGGAUGAAGGGCCUCAGGUUCCAACUAUUGACUUGAAGGAUAUUGAGUCUGAGGACGAGGUGGUCCGGGAGAGAUGCCGGGAGGAGUUGAAGAAAGCUGCCAUGGAGUGGGGUGUGAUGCACCUUGUUAACCAUGGCAUCUCUGAUGACCUUAUCAACCGUGUUAAGGUUGCUGGAGAGACCUUUUUCAAUCUCCCCAUGGAGGAAAAGGAGAAGUAUGCUAAUGACCAGGCCUCCGGCAAGAUCGCUGGCUAUGGCAGCAAGCUUGCCAACAAUGCUAGUGGACAGCUUGAGUGGGAGGACUACUUCUUCCACCUCAUCUUCCCUGAAGACAAGCGCGAUAUGACCAUCUGGCCUAAGACACCAAGCGACUACGUGUAAGUUCAAUUCAUUGUUUAUGUAAUUAUACGAUGUUUGCUGAUCUGUUUUUCCUCUGGCCAAGUAGUUACUAACUGAAUUUUCUAUUAUAAAAAAAAAUCUGCAAAUUUUACUAAUUUUGAAAUUGUUUCUGGGUUCUAAGAAUUACUUGUUCAAACUUGUGAUUGCAGUCCAGCAACCUGUGAGUACUCGGUGAAACUUAGGAGCCUGGCAACCAAGAUACUAUCGGUGCUAUCGCUUGGGUUGGGAUUGGAAGAAGGGAGACUAGAAAAGGAAGUUGGUGGGAUGGAAGAGCUACUACUCCAAAAGAAGAUCAACUACUACCCCAAGUGUCCCCAGCCUGAAUUGGCUCUCGGGGUGGAAGCUCACACUGACGUGAGCGCUCUCACCUUCAUCCUCCACAACAUGGUACCCGGCCUGCAACUUUUCUAUGAGGGCAAGUGGGUGACAGCCAAGUGUGUCCCCAACUCCAUCAUCAUGCACAUUGGAGACACCAUAGAGAUUCUCAGCAAUGGUAAGUACAAGAGUAUUCUUCACAGGGGACUGGUCAACAAGGAGAAGGUGAGGAUUUCAUGGGCAGUUUUCUGCGAGCCGCCUAAGGAGAAGAUCAUCCUGAAGCCACUGCCAGAGACGGUGUCUGAGACUGAGCCACCACUCUUCCCACCUCGCACCUUUUCCCAACAUAUUCAGCACAAGCUCUUCAGGAAGACCCAGGAGGCUCUACUCUCCAAAUGAGCUGUAGCCUUGUUGUAUUUCAUCUGCUAUACUAAGCUCUCUAUUUGGCUGUUUUGUUACAGUUUGGUCUGUGUUUCAAGCUUCCCAAUCUUUGAUCAUGGCAGGUAUAGGCCAUCAUAUAUGUUUGUUUCUCUGCCUGCUUUUAUUUAAUAAAAUUCGAGAUUUCUAUUCUUCUUUUGUGCACAACCAAGUUUUGGAUUUGAAUUACCAAUGUCAUUAUGCAUUAAUUCUCAAGCUACUUGUAUUGAAAAAUAAAGCCAAUAUGGUAAUGGUAUGAGUGGUG